UACGUAGGUGGCGAGCGUUGCCCGGAUUUACUGGGCGUAAAGAGCGCGCAGGCGGUCGUAUAAGUCGCGUGUGAAAGCCCCCGGCUCAACUGGGGAGGGUCACGCGAUACUGUUCGACUCGAAGGCAGGAGAGGGAAGUGGAAUUCCCGGUGUAGUGGUGAAAUGCGUAGAUAUCGAGAGGAACACCUGCGGCGAAGGCGGGUUGCUGGGCUGACACUGACGCUGAUGCGCGAAAGCUAGGGGAGCGAACGGG
rnacentral:rRNA from 1 species